ACUUAAAUUGAAGAGUUUGAUCAUGGCUCAGAUUGAACGCUGGCGGCAGGCCUAACACAUGCAAGUCGAGCGGUAGCACAGAGAGCUUGCUCUCGGGUGACGAGCGGCGGACGGGUGAGUAAUGUCUGGGAAACUGCCUGAUGGAGGGGGAUAACUACUGGAAACGGUAGCUAAUACCGCAUAAUGUCGCAAGACCAAAGUGGGGGACCUUCGGGCCUCAUGCCAUCAGAUGUGCCCAGAUGGGAUUAGCUAGUAGGUGGGGUAACGGCUCACCUAGGCGACGAUCCCUAGCUGGUCUGAGAGGAUGACCAGCCACACUGGAACUGAGACACGGUCCAGACUCCUACGGGAGGCAGCAGUGGGGAAUAUUGCACAAUGGGCGCAAGCCUGAUGCAGCCAUGC
rnacentral:rRNA from 1 species